ACGAUAUUCCCCAGAGAGAAAGAGAAUCCAGUCCCCACCCGCCGCCGCGCCGCUGAUAGCGAGCGUGACAGAGUCCUCCCCCAUUAAACCCCCCCGCCCGGCCGCCGCGUCGUCCACCGCCACCGCCAGACCACGCCCGCAAUCGCCGACCGAGGCACGGACGGAGAAGCGCGACGACGCCCGCCAUGGAGGACAGAGCGCCGCUUCUGCCCCGGCACCAAGAGGCGGCGGCGGCGGCCAAGAGCGGCGGGUGGCGCUGCGGGGCGGCGGCGGCGGAGGCCAGGAAGGUCGCGCACGUGGCGCUGCCGAUGGCGGCCGUGAGCGUGGCGCAGUACACCGUGCAGGUGGCCUCCAACAUGAUGGUCGGCCACCUCCCCGGGGGCGUGCUGGCGCUCUCCGCCUCCGCCAUCGCCACCUCCCUCGCCUCCGUCUCCGGAUUCAGCCUCCUCAUUGGAAUGUCAAACGGCUUAGAAACUCUGUGUGGUCAAGCUUACGGGGCCGAACAGUACGGCAGAUUGGGAGUGCAAACCUACAGAGCUAUGGUCACCCUGACGGCUGUCAGCAUUCCAAUCUCACUUCUCUGGGUAUUCAUGGGAAAACUCCUGACCCUCAUAGGCCAGGACCCCAUGAUCUCGCAUGAAGCCGGAAGAUACAUAAUGUGGUUGAUUCCGGCCCUCUUUGCAUACGCUGUCAGCCAGCCCUUAACAAAGUUCUUACAGUCUCAGAGUCUGAUAAUCCCUAUGCUUUGGUCCUCCAUUGCGACGUUGCUCUUGCACAUUCCUGUUUGCUGGUUAUUAGUGUUCAAGACCAGCCUUGGGUACAUUGGAGCCGCUUUGGCGAUAAGCGUAUCAUACUGGUUGAACGUGUUCAUGCUUGUCGCGUACAUCGGAUGCUCAAACUCUUGUAAGGAGACAUUCUCGCGUCCUACACUCGAUGCUUUCAGUGGAGUGGGUGUGUUCAUGCGCCUAGCUCUGCCGUCUGCACUAAUGUUAUGUUUUGAAUGGUGGUCAUUUGAGGUCAUUAUUCUUCUGUCUGGACUUCUACCCAAUCCAGAGCUGCAAACUUCAGUUCUGUCUACAUGCAUGACAACAAUCACACUGAUGUAUACUAUAGCAUACGGGAUUGGUGCUGCUGGAAGCACUCGGGUAUCAAAUGAAUUAGGUGCCGGGAAUCCUGAAGGUGCUCGACUGGCUGUCCGCGUUGUCAUGUGUAUUGCUGUGACUGAGGCAGUUGUCAUCACUGGGGCACUGUUAGCAUCCCAGCACAUCUUGGGCUAUGCAUACAGCAGUGAUAAGGAGGUUGUUGAUUAUGUCAAUGCAAUGGUUCCCUUCAUCUGCAUCUCAGUUGCUGCUGAUAGCCUACAAGGAGUUCUCUCAGGUUAAAACUUUCUAACUACCAAUUGAUCUGUCAAUUUUACCGUCCCUUCAAAAGAGUGUGAUGUUAUAAUGAUUUCGGCAGCCAUAAGCUAUACUUGUUUCCAGCCAUGACACCAUACUGUGAUAUAUAUAUCUUCACCCUGUAGUUUGAUUUCGAUAAUUCAGUAUGUAGCUUUUAUCCAGUUUGGUAAUAAGCCUUGCUAGGUAGCAAGUGAAACUAUUAUCUGUGAGUCAUGCCGAUUUCGCAAAGACAUUACCAGGUAACGUGCCACUUAUUAGAUUUGUUAAUGUUUCGCUAUACUAAUGCUAUUUUGUGUUGUGGAAGCCGACAUUGUUACUUGGGGAGUUACUUGUUUGUUCUUUCAAACAUGUGCUCUUACGUGAACAUGGAUGGCGGUGUUUACGUCCACACACAUCUGGCUGGGAUGUAACCUUAAGUGGGCGCCACCUCACUAAGUAUUGCUCGAGGGUGUGGGUCGCAGCACCUGGGCGCCUAUGUGAACCUCGGUUCGUUCUAUCUGUUUGGGAUUCCGAUGUCCCUCCUUCUUGGGUUUGUUCUGAAGAUGGGAGGGAAAGGGCUUUGGAUGGGCAUUUCCUGCGGCUCCAUAAUGCAAUUCCUACUUCUGUCCGGCAUAGUGUUCUUCAGCAACUGGCA